rnacentral:rRNA from 1 species
GGGCUUGACAUCCCACGAACCUUGCCUAAAGGCAGGAGUGCCCGCAAGGGAGCGCGGAGACAGGUGGUGCAUGGCUGUCGUCAGCUCGUGUCGUGAGAUGUUGGGUUAAGUCCCGCAACGAGCGCAACCCUCACCUCUUGUUGCCACCAGGUCAUGCUGGGCACUCUAGAGGAACUGCCCCGGUCAACGGGGAGGAAGGCGGGGAUGACGUCAAGUCAUCAUGCCCCUUACGUCCUGGGCUACACACGUGCUACAAUGGCCGGUACAAAGGGAUGCCACACCGCGAGGUAGAGCUAAACCCAAAAAGCCGGUCUAAGUUCAGAUUGGAGUCUGCAACUCGACUCCAUGAAGGAGGAAUCGCUAGUAAUCGCGUAUCAGCACGACGCGGUGAAUACGUUCCCGGGCCUUGUACACACCGCCCGUCACACCACGAAAGCCCGUUGUACUCGAAGUCGCUGAG